rnacentral:rRNA from 1 species
AGUGCUUGCACUUUGCUGACGACCGGCGCACGGGUGCGUAACGCGUAUGCAAUCUACCUCUUACUGAGGGAUAGCCCAUGGAAACGUGGAUUAACACCUCAUGGUAUUUUAAAUUGGCAUCAAUUUAAGAUUAAAGGUUACGGUAAGAGAUGAGCAUGCGUCCUAUUAGCUAGAUGGUAAGGUAACGGCUUACCAUGGCAACGAUAGGUAGGGGUCCUGAGAGGGAGAUCCCCCACACUGGUACUGAGACACGGACCAGACUCCUACGGGAGGCAGCAGUGAGGAAUAUUGGACAAUGGGCGAGAGCCUGAUCCAGCCAUGCCGCGUGCAGGAAGACUGCCCUAUGGGUUGUAAACUGCUUUUGUAUAGGAAGAAACCUUUCCUCGUGAGGAAAAUUGACGGUACUAUACGAAUAAGGAUCGGCUAACUCCGUGCCAGCAGCCGCGGUAAUACGGAGGAUCCAAGCGUUAUCCGGAAUCAUUGGGUUUAAAGGGUCCGUAGGCGGGUUUAUAAGUCAGUGGUGAAAGUCUGCAGCUUAACUGUAGAACUGCCAUUGAUACUGUAGAUCUUGAAUCAUUAUGAAGUGGUUAGAAUGUGUAGUGUAGCGGUGAAAUGCAUAGAUAUUACACAGAAUACCGAUUGCGAAGGCAGAUCACUAAUAAUGUAUUGACGCUGAUGGACGAAAGCGUAGGUAGCGAACAGGAUUAGAUACCCUGGUAGUCUACGCCGUAAACGAUGGUUACUAGCUGUCCGGCCUAAUUGAGGGCUGGGUGGUUAAGCGAAAGUGAUAAGUAACCCACCUGGGGAGUACGUUCGCAAGAAUGAAACUCAAAGGAAUUGACGGGGGCCCGCACAAGCGGUGGAGCAUGUGGUUUAAUUCGAUGAUACGCGAGGAACCUUACCAGGGCUUAAAUGCAGUCUGACGUACUUGGAAACAGGUAUUUCUUCGGACAGAUUGCAAGGUGCUGCAUGGUUGUCGUCAGCUCGUGCCGUGAGGUGUCAGGUUAAGUCCUAUAACGAGCGCAACCCCUGUGGUUAGUUGCCAGCACGUAAUGGUGGGAACUCUAGCCCAGACUGCCGGUGCAAACCGUGAGGAAGGUGGGGAUGACGUCAAAUCAUCACGGCCCUUACGUCCUGGGCCACACACG